GUGGAUGGAGGUCAGUGUAGAGGCUAAGCCAAGGUUCUUGUUCCUCCAGGAAGUGAGCGAGAAUUCCUGCUAUGACCUGACCAGGGUGAAAAUGAUGAGAACCCUGACGUCAUGAGGCUGCUCAGGUAGAAUCCAGUACUGGCAGUCUUCCUGGGUGCAGGCUGUGAGGGGCUGAUGGUGCUACUAGCAGAAUGGUCUUGAGGUGGCUGGAAGCCUUUGGGAGCACCAAAACAGCCCCAGCACCAAAGAGACACUGCCUCCCGCCCAUCUUAAGAGAAAUUCACAUGGCAAGCCCAGUUUCCGCUCCCCCAGGAGAGCCCACCCAGAUCUUCCCCUUCCUUCUCAACCACCCAGGGUCUUUAGUUCCAGAAUAAGAUAGAAUACAGCUUUUUACAAAUCUUCAAUUCCAUGGAGGGCAGUUGGUGGGCAAAGAAGAUCAGGUGCCUCAGAACAGGCACUGGACCAGAUCACAGGGUUGGAGACCCCGAAUCUGAGGAGUUAUGAGACUGCCAUCUCAGAAACUAUCCUGUGCCAUCUUCAAGUGAAUUCAGGUCCUUCAAAGUUUGUUGGACUCACACUGAACACCGGAGAACCUCUUCCAGUCUGGUAUUUAAACUGUCCCAGAAAUUCUGUUGUGAUGAAAGCUGAUGCAUACAAGAAUUGUCCAGGAGGCUGGAUGACAGCCAAUAGAAUGGAAUACCUGUAGCAGGAAACUUUGGGGCUUAGUCCCCCACCACAAAUUCUGUAAUAAAAAAAAUUCCUGGAAAAUUUCAGAACCCGUAGGGGGCUCUUGAAUUUGUAGUAUCUGCAAAGGGACCACUUUCUGGUUCAAUGU
rnacentral:lncRNA from 1 species